CACACUGGAACUGAGACACGGUCCAGACUCCUACGGGAGGCAGCAGUGGGGAAUAUUGCACAAUGGGCGCAAGCCUGAUGCAGCCAUGCCGCGUGUGUGAAGAAGGCCUUCGGGUUGUAAAGCACUUUCAGCAGUGAGGAAGGUGGUGUCGUUAAUAGCGGCAUCAUUUGACGUUAGCUGCAGAAGAAGCACCGGCUAACUCCGUGCCAGCAGCCGCGGUAAUACGGAGGGUGCGAGCGUUAAUCGGAAUUACUGGGCGUAAAGCGCAUGCAGGUGGUUUGUUAAGUCAGAUGUGAAAGCCCGGGGCUCAACCUCGGAACCGCAUUUGAAACUGGCAGGCUAGAGUACUGUAGAGGGGGGUAGAAUUUCAGGUGUAGCGGUGAAAUGCGUAGAGAUCUGAAGGAAUACCGGUGGCGAAGGCGGCCCCCUGGACAGAUACUGACACUCAGAUGCGAAAGCGUGGGGAGCAAACAGGAUUAGAUACCCUGGUAGUCCACGCCGUAAACGAUGUCUACUUGGAGGUUGUGGCCUUGAGCCGUGGCUUUCGGAGCUAACGCGUUAAGUAGACCGCCUGGGGAGUACGGUCGCAAGAUUAAAACUCAAAUGAAUUGACGGGGGCCCGCACAAGCGGUGGAGCAUGUGGUUUAAUUCGAUGCAACGCGAAGAACCUUACCUACUCUUGACAUCCAGAGAACUUUCCAGAGAUGGAUUGGUGCCUUCGGGAACUCUGAGACAGGUGCUGCAUGGCUGUCGUCAGCUCGUGUUGUGAAAUGUUGGGUUAAGUCCCGCAACGAGCGCAACCCUUAUCCUUGUUUGCCAGCGAGUAAUGUCGGGAACUCCAGGGAGACUGCCGGUGAUAAACCGGAGGAAGGUGGGGACGACGUCAAGUCAUCAUGGCCCUUACGAGUAGGGCUACACACGUGCUACAAUGGCGCAUACAGAGGGCGGCCAACUCGCGAGAGUGAGCGAAUCCCAAAAAGUGCGUCGUAGUCCGGAUUGGAGUCUGCAACUCGACUCCAUGAAGUCGGAAUCGCUAGUAAUCGUAGAUCAGAAUGCUACGGUGAAUACGUUCCCGGGCCUUGUACACACCGCCCGUCACACCAUGGGAGUGGGCUGCAAAAGAAGUGGGUAGUUUAACYUUCGGGAGGACGCU
rnacentral:rRNA from 1 species